UACAGAGGGGGCAAGCGUUGUUCGGAAUUACUGGGCGUAAAGGGCGCGUAGGCGGCCUUCUAAGUCAGACGUGAAAUCCCUCGGCUCAACCGGGGAACUGCGUCUGAUACUGAAAGGCUUGAAUCCGGGAGAGGAAUGCGGAAUUCCAGGUGUAGCGGUGAAAUGCGUAGAUAUCUGGAGGAACACCGGUGGCGAAGGCGGCAUCCUGGACCGGCAUUGACGCUGAGGCGCGAAAGCCAGGGGAGCAAAGCGGG
rnacentral:rRNA from 1 species